rnacentral:rRNA from 1 species
AGGACGAACGCUGGCGGCGUGCUUAACACAUGCAAGUCGAACGAGAAUCUAAUGACGGAGUUUUCGGACAACUGAUUUAGAGGACAGUGGCGGACUGGUGAGUAACGCGUGAGGAACCUGCCUUUCAGAGGGGGACAACAGUUGGAAACGACUGCUAAUACCGCAUGAUGCAUUUUGAUCGCAUGGUCGGAAUGCCAAAGAUUUAUCGCUGAAAGAUGGCCUCGCGUCUGAUUAGCUAGUUGGCGGGGUAACGGCCCACCAAGGCGACGAUCAGUAGCCGGACUGAGAGGUUGACCGGCCACAUUGGGACUGAGAUACGGCCCAGACUCCUACGGGAGGCAGCAGUGGGGAAUAUUGGGCAAUGGGCGCAAGCCUGACCCAGCAACGCCGCGUGAAGGAAGAAGGCUUUCGGGUUGUAAACUUCUUUUAAGUGGGAAGAGUGGAAGACGGUACCACUUGAAUAAGCCACGGCUAACUACGUG